rnacentral:rRNA from 1 species
CCUACGGGUGGCAGCAGUGAGGAAUAUUGGUCAAUGGGCGGAAGGCUGAACCAGCCAAGUAGCGUGAAGGAAGAAGGAUCUAUGGGUUGUAAACUUCUUUUAUAGGGGAAUAAAGGUAUCCACGUGUGGAUAUUUGCAUGUACCUUAUGAAUAAGCAACGGCUAAUUACGUGCCAGCAGCCGCGGUAAUACGGAGGAUCCGAGCGUUAUCCGGAUUUAUUGGGUUUAAAGGGUGCGUAGGCGGUUUGCUAAGUCAGCGGGGAAAGUUUGUGGCUCAACCCCGAAAGUGCCUUUGAAACUGUAGGACUUGAGUGUGGUUGAGGUAGGCGGAAUGUGUGGUGUAGCGGUGAAAUGCUUAGAGAUCACGCAGAACUCCGAUUGCGAAGGCAGCGUACCAGACUAUAACUGACGCUGAGGCACGAAAGCGCGGGUAUCAAACAGGAUUAGAUACCCUAGUAGUC